UACAGAGGUCCCAAGCGUUGUUCGGAUUUACUGGGCGUAAAGGGUGCGUAGGUGGUCGGGUAAGUCUGGUGUGAAAUCUCGGAGCUCAACUCCGAAACUGCAUCGGAUACUAUCUGGCUAGAGGUUGGGAGGGGGGACUGGAAUUCUCGGUGUAGCAGUGAAAUGCGUAGAUAUCGAGAGGAACACCAGUGGCGAAGGCGAGUCCCUGGACCAUUCCUGACGCUGAGGCACGAAAGCCAGGGGAGCAAACGGG
rnacentral:rRNA from 1 species